GUUUUUGUAGUUGAAUAACAACAAUGGUUUUUCAGACCGUAAGUUUUGGUGAUAGUAGGUCCAAACAGAAAUA
rnacentral:tRNA from 1 species